rnacentral:tRNA from 1 species
GCCUUCUUAGCGUAGUUGGUAGAGCACCCGCCUAGUAAGCGGGAGCUCGUCGGUUCAAUUUCGGCAGAAGUUU